rnacentral:rRNA from 1 species
GAUGAACGCUGGCGGCGUGCUUAACACAUGCAAGUCGAACGAAAAGGCCCAAGCUUGCUUGGGUACUCGAGUGGCGAACGGGUGAGUAACACGUGGGUGAUCUGCCCUUCACUUCGGGAUAAGCCUGGGAAACUGGGUCUAAUACCGGAGAGGACCACUUCUUGGAUGUUGUGGUGGAAAGUUUUUUCGGUGUGGGAUGAGCUCGCGGCCUAUCAGCUUGUUGGUGGGGUAAUGGCCUACCAACGCGUCGACGGGUCGCCGGCCUGAGAGGGAGUACGGGCACAAUGGGACUGAGAUACGGCGCAGACUGCUACGGGCGGCAGCGGUGGAGAAUCUUGCACAAUGGGCGCAAGUCUGAUGCGGCGGCGUCGCGUGGGGGAUGACGGCCUUCGGGUUGUAAACUCCUUUCGCUAGGGACGAGGCGUUUUGGGCCGGUACCUGGAGAAGAAGCACCGCCUACCUACGU